rnacentral:rRNA from 1 species
UGCAGUCGCGUGCGCAGUUUCCGUAGCAAUACGGGGAUGGGCGCACGGCGCACGGGUGCGUAACACGUGGGCAAUCUGCCCUCCGAUGGGGAAUACCCCCGCGAAAGCGGGACUAAUUCCGCAUAACAUUCCUUGGAUUAACUUUCGAGGAUUCAAAGCAGCAAUGCGUCGGAGGAGGAGCCCGCGCCCGAUUAGCUAGUUGGUGAGGUAACGGCUCACCAAGGCGAUGAUCGGUAGCUGGUCUGAGAGGAUGGCCAGCCACACUGGAACUGAGACACGGUCCAGACUCCUACGGGAGGCAGCAGUGGGGAAUCUUGCACAAUGGGCGAAAGCCUGAUGCAGCGACGCCGCGUGGGGGAUGAAGCUUUUCGGAGUGUAAACCCCUUUCGACUGGGACGAAUGCCCGCAAGGGAGUGACGGUACCAGUAUAAGAAGCCCCGGCUAACUACGUGCCAGCAGCCGCGGUAAGACGUAGGGGGCCAGCGUUGUUCGGAAUUACUGGGUGUAAAGGGUUCGUAGGCGGUGUGGCAAGUCGGGAGUGAAAUCUCUAGGCUCAACCUAGAGACUGCUUCCGAAACUGCUGUGCUUGAGUGUGAGAGAGGCUCGUGGAAUUGCAGGUGUAGCGGUGAAAUGCGUAGAUAUCUGCAGGAACACCCGUGGCGAAAGCGGCGAGCUGGAUCACUACUGACGCUGAGGAACGAAAGCUAGGGGAGCAAACAGGAUUAGAUACCCUGGUAGUCCUAGCCCUAAACGAUCAGGACUUGGGGUGCCGCCCGUUCGGGCGUCGUCCCGGAGCUAACGCGUUAAGUCCUGCACCUGGGGAGUACGGUCGCAAGACUGAAACUCAAAGGAAUUGACGGGGGCCCGCACAGCGGUGGAACUGUGGUUCAAUUCGACGCUACGC